rnacentral:misc_RNA from 1 species
GGCGCAGAAGGUAGAGG